ensembl:snRNA U6 U6 spliceosomal RNA
GGUUUCUGAAAUCUUAGGAUAAAAUUAGAGAAGAUUAGCCUGGUCCCUGUGCAAGAAUGACACACAUAUUUGUAAAGUUUUCCAUAUUUUU